UACGUAGGGGGCAAGCGUUAUCCGGAAUUACUGGGUGUAAAGGGAGCGUAGACGGUAAUGUAAGUCUGGAGUGAAAGGCGGGGGCCCAACCCCCGGACUGCUCUGGAAACUAUGUUACUAGAGUGCAGGAGAGGUAAGCGGAAUUCCUAGUGUAGCGGUGAAAUGCGUAGAUAUUAGGAGGAACACCGGUGGCGAAGGCGGCUUACUGGACUGUAACUGACGUUGAGGCUCGAAAGCGUGGGGAGCAAACAGG
rnacentral:rRNA from 1 species